AUUUCCCGCAGGAACAAUGGCGCUGUCUUCAGUGGCACAGUGGAGCAGCUCUGAAGAUGCAAAGAUACACGAAAAAACUUCCAGAACAUCUGGGAGAAUAUUUAAUGGAAAAUCGCUUGGUUAAAACCUGACACUUUUAACAGUGAACAGCGUUCUGAGUGUGGACGAGUAGCCAGUGAAGAUAAUGAAUGUCGAAUGUGACUGACUAGCAGCUUCAUUUUGAAUGAGGGUCGCUGUCUGCCCAUUGAUAGAGGCCAGAUUGUCUUGGAAGUUCCAAAGUUGCAACGAUUUCUGUAAGUGGAGUUUUUCUGUUUGCUUAGAGAUCAGUGAAUAUUGUGUCCUUGGUCUUAUCUGUGAUGAUCUUAUCCCGAACCUGAACUUCUGUUGA
rnacentral:lncRNA from 1 species